rnacentral:rRNA from 1 species
GGAGUCCAGCAUGUGCGCGAGUCAUUGGGAAGCGAUGUCUAAACCCAAAGGCGAAAUGAAAGUGAAGGCGCGCCUCGCGCGCGCCUAGGGAGGAUGGUCGACCGUCCCUUCGCGGGGACGGAGCGUCCCGCACUCCCGGGGCGUCUCGUUCUCAUCGCGAGAAGAGGCGCACCCAGAGCGUACACGCUGGGACCCGAAAGAUGGUGAACUAUGCCUGGUCAGGACGAAGUCAGGGGAAACCCUGAUGGAGGUCCGUAGCGAUUCUGACGUGCAAAUCGAUCGUCGGAACUGGGUAUAGGGGCGAAAGACUAAUCGAACCAUCUAGUAGCUGGUUCCCUCCGAAGUUUCCCUCAGGAUAGCUGGCGCUCGCAUAUAUCGUGCGAGUCUCAUCCGGUAAAGCGAAUGAUUAGAGGCAUUGGGGUCGAAACGGCCUCAACCUAUUCUCAAACUUUAAAUGGGUGAGAUCUCCGGCUUGCUUGAAUGCUGAAGCCGCGAGAUCGGAUCAGAGUGCCAAGUGGGCCACUUUUGGUAAGCAGAACUGGCGCUGUGGGAUGAACCAAACGCGGAGUUAAAGCGCCUAAAUCGACGCUUAUGGGAUACCAUGAAAGGCGUUGGUAACUUAAGACAGCAGGACGGUGGCCAUGGAA